rnacentral:rRNA from 1 species
UACAGAGGGUGCAAGCGUUAAUCGGAGUUACUGGGCGUAAAGGGCGCGUAGGCGGUUAUUUAAGUUUGAUGUGAAAUCCAUGGGCUUAACCUAGGAACUGCAUUGAAUACUGGGUAACUGGAGUACUGUAGAGGGUAGUGGAAUUUCCGGUGUAGCGGUGAAAUGCGUAGAGAUCGGAAGGAACACCAGUGGCGAAGGCGGCUACCUGGACAGAUACUGACGCUGAGGCGCGAGAGCGUGGGGAGCAAACAGG